CGUUUGGACAGGAGGCGUUUGAAUCUGGAUUCAGCAAGCGACAGUCAUGGAUGGUCUGGAUGAUUUUACACAAUCAACUCUUAAUGCUGCCAACAUAGAUGAGGCCUUGCUUGUCACCCUCAGCCGUGAGGAGUUAAGAGACCUUUUUCCUGGGCCAGAAAAUUUUCUUAGGAGGAAACAGUUGUGGGCUCAUGUUCACAAAGAGGAUGAGAACCCAACUUUACCAGACAAAGGUGGCUCUGGUGAAAAAGGAACAGUUUCUCCACCUCAAGGGACACAUCCAUCUCUUCGGGCAUCCACUCCCUUGGUGGAGAAAACUUCAAAGAAGACCCUACAGCUUCCCA